CUUCUUAGCAGUUUCUUCUGCCUUCAACCCACGUCUAUGUCUUCAACCCACGUCUUACUAGUAGUUAUUGAUAAAAUUAUUCAGUUCCCUUUAAACUCCUCACUCCCUUGCAACAACCCCACUCACCUCUUUUCUCUACGCUCACAUAUUGCAAAAUAGGGAAGAAGCAUAGAUAAGAUUUGGCAAGAGAAUAAAUUAGGGCAUCAUGAUGACGACGUCUCCUUCAUAAACUCAAGCCCUCAAACGAUCCCCAACGCUCUCGAAUGUAGUGAUGUUUCCAAGAUUUCUCCAUUUUUGUCGGAUCUGAAUAUUCUCCGAUGGAAGCAUACGACGUCAGUUUCCGCCAUGUUCUGGUUUUGCGUCGCCGUAAGAAAGGUUUAAUGAUAUAGUUGGAACUUGGAAGUGCAUAUUAUGUUGCACCAUUAAAGUUCUGCAUAGAUCAUACAGCUUGGAAGCAGAUAUAUGGAGUGUUGGGGUUAUUAUACGAGUGAAUACCAUUUUGGGCAAGCAUAGAAGCAGGAAUAUUUUGUGCGGUUUCGAGGGCAGACCUAAUUUUGAUCAUAUAUAUCGUGGUCUUCUUUAUCACCAUAAACUCAGAAAGUAAAGAUUUUGUUAAAAAGGCUUCUAAUUGGGGACUAUAAAAAAGAAUGAGUGCUGCUCAAUCCCUCCACAUAAGUUUAGUUCCAGUCGCAUGUGUGAUGACAGCUCAUCCAUGGUUGUCAAUUGAGAGUCAUCCAAUUCCUUUAGAUAUAUUGAUUUACAAACCGCCAUUCAAACCGAUGCACUCAAGGUACUUUCAAAAGCUCUGACAGGGAAUGAAUUCAUUUAUCUUAGAUCCCAAUUUAUGCUUUAGGAACCAAACAAAGAUGAGAUGGGCGUGUGUAUCUCUUGACAACUUCAGAAUGGUAAUAGUUUGCUUCCAGUUUAAAAAUGAUGGUUAUUUCUUUUCAGUUUUCAUUUAUAUUAAUAUCUUAUCUCUUGAAGCUUACUCUUUACUUGUAAGCUUAUUGUUGCUUUUUUAACAUUGGAGGUGAGUUUGAGCGGAACCGGAUAUAGUUAGAAGCUAAAGACCUUACUUUAGACAUUAGGAGUGGAAAAAUAGUUGGGUCGGGCAGAAUUGAUAAUGGGUCGAUUCAGGUUGUUUUAUAGUACUGGGCAGAACGGGUCAAGCUGACCCCCAAUUCCCUAGACACCUUUUCUUGAUAGUUGAGCUUUGUAACUUUUUAGUUUGUUAAAAUGUCUUAUAUACUUCACUAUUACAGUUACAAUUUAACUUGUGGUUACUAAAGAAAUCUAUGAGCAUUUCAAUCCAUAUUGGAAUAUUGGAUGGCUUUUGGCCCGUUUGACAUGAUACCUUUUAGAGUUAAAUAUUUUAGCUUAACUCAUUUGACCCGUGACUUAAAUCAACUCAUUUUGUGUGCGUGUGUGUGUAUAUAAAUGGGUCAAAAUUACUAAGCGAUAACAUAAUUUUUGCACUGGUAUGAGAAAUAUACUGGUGUGGAUGAUGUCAUACGUGGGAGUACCAAGUUAGCGUUUGUUUGGAUUUGUGCUUAAAACUUUCUCAGCAUUAUAUCCUGAGGCAUUAUAUCCUGAGGCAUGUUAGUGAAACUCACCUUUUUGUCUUUUUUUUUCACCGUUGUCUAUAAUAAAUAAGUUCUUAUAUGCUAAGUUAGCGUUUGUUUGGAUUUGUGCUUAAAAGUGUUAUGUGAUACUGAAUAAUCUUAAUCAAAUAAUCAGCUGAAAUAGUCAUCUAAAAAUUGGCCAUUUGAUGAGGUUGACCGUUAUCUUGGUCCAAUGAGCAUCCCGAAAGAUUCUUCAUAUCUGAAAUUGUUAGAGAAUAUAACUUCAUGCAGUUUCGUAAUGAGGUUCCUUACUUGUGUCAGUUAUCAUGGACUUUUGAAAAAGCAGGUACAAAGCUAGAGUGGCGAUGGAAAUUUAGACCAGCUGAGAAUAAGAUGAAGAAAGCUGUCUCAUGAUGGAUGCUAAAACACGCCUAAGCGUAAGAGUGACUUACAUAUCAAAGGAUUCAGAUCUAAGUUUUCAUUUUUAAUAACGGACAUGUAAACCUUUCAAACCAAUAACCUCAUGUCGGGACGACUUUGGAUAAGGGCAUUUCUAUAUAAAAAUGGUUCAAUUUGGUUGAUCGGUCUACAACGUGUUCUGACCAAAAUGGGUUUAGAUAAAAUAGACCAUUUUAGAAGAAAAAGUGAUUUAGGUCGAUAAUUAUCAACCAUGCUAAGUUUGAUUUUUGUGUCCAUACUGGUUCAAUAUUUUUCUUUGAUUUGUGCUAUUAAAUGAUAAUUCUGGAUUAUUUUAACUGUUUGUUUUACUUUGUACUCAUUCAAGAGUUCAGACAAUUAAGGAAGGCUCACAAGUCAAGGAAGGCUCACAAGUCCUUUGCAGCUUACACAGGAAUAAUUGUUGGGUGGGGACUAGGGAGCUGCAUGGUAGCUAAGGGCGACGAAAAAUGCAUCAUACCUGAAACUUUGUUGAUUCAUUAGGUGCUCAUGAUUCGACGAAUAUAUUCAGCUGGACAACAAACUUGCAGGUGCCCGAGUUAUUCUAUCCAUGGUAGGUUGUAAUCGGCCAUUCUAUAAAAGUAGCCUCAGAUGAGAUCUCAAGAGUUUUUGCACUAUUUUCCCCUAAUGGGAGAUGAAAAUAGUUGCUGCUACUCUGAUAAGAGCUGAUAUAAGGUGCAUCACUUUCUGAUGGCUUUAUAGUGGUAGGAGAAUUAGGGUUGACCUGAGGUUUUGGUUUGUCUUCCACAAACACGGAACCCUUUACUUGUGCUCAACACCUUUCACUAGCAAACAUUAAUUGCUAAAUUGUUUGCAUUUUUUACCAGAUUUUUAAUUGAGGACAUAAGAUUCCAACCUGUCUUUUCAGAAAUUACAGCUCACCCUAAAAAUAGUGGAAGCAAGCAACUUCAAAAGUUGUAUUAAAUAUUAGUUUACAUAAUUUCUACCUGUAGCUGGUAACUUAAACUAAUUCUCCCUAUUUUACAUCAACGAUGGUUUCUCUGCGCAACAUUACUUAUCAGCUUCAAUGAAAGUAGGCCAUGGUUUUACUAUAGCAUAGGGUUUAUAAGAAGCAUAAACAAUGAAAAGAGGUUGGAAUUUGAUUUAUUAAAAUUUGUUAUUUAGUGUAGUGUAUAGUUUUGCCUUAAUUGAUUUUUGCUGAUCUUGUAUCUCAAUGAUGGUUUUUUGAACAAUAUGGAUCGGUUUAUAAUAUUGUCGUUGGUCCAUCAACAUAUGUAGCUGUAGCGGAUCCUAUUGUCGCCUGAUAUAUUCUUUGUGGGAAUGCAUUUUCGUAACAUAAGGUAUGAUUUCAAGUUAAUGACUUCUUUUAGCCUCUAUGUUGAAAAGUGAAGUAGAAUAGUAGAUUAGUAGAUCCGACGUGUAUUGAUUAGUGGUUUUCGCAUUUUAUCCUCAUUUGUUCAAGUCACCUCUUCAGUGUAACAAUAUUUUUAUGACGUCAAAUUUGCCUGAACUUCAAUCCCAAUCACUUAAAGUGAUAUUCAUGUUGCCGUUACAUAUUGCGUUACAUAAAAAAUAGUGGGACAGUAGCUACUAAAAAUUUUGGGCUAAAUGAUCAGUGUGUUCAUAUUGAAAUUUUAUUCCGUUGUCAUAUGUCUCAUCAGCCGAUGAUGAACCAAUCUUUGCCGAAGAAAUGGCCUACCUGUCCAUUUUUCGUUUUAUACUUCGUGAAGACUUAUAAAACAUAAAGGCUAGCUGCAUUCAAAGGUAACGCCAACGCUAGGGAUGAGCAUUUGGGACUUGGUACAGUACCGGAUUUUUUUCGCUACCAAUCCGGUACCCGUUUUUUUGGAGUUUUCGGUACCGGUAUUUUUGGUACGAUACCGGUAAUCUACGGAACUUUACACAAAAAUACUGAUACCGCACCGCACCGAACAUUUUAUGUACCGGUACCCACAUUUGACAAUUUUCGGUACCGGUACCGGUUGUACCGAGCUCAUCCGUAGCCAACGCGAAUACAACCGACUCAUGGGAUUACCCAAACAAUCAACUUUCUUUUUAAAUACGUAGUGAAGUUCUAUAAGUGGUUUUGACUCAUCGUUUAUAUAAUAUGUAUUCCAUCUAUCUAAUUUUCAGUUGGUUAACUUGUCUUUGCUUUGUUUUUUUUUUUUUGUUUUUUUUUUUCGGACUGCAUAUAUAGAAUUGAAGGCUUUGUAUGUUGUUGAAAUGACUAAACUUCACGUUUGAUAAUUUCAAUUUCUUUAGUAAUUGUUUGUAUUAGAAGAGAGCCCAAAGCGAAGUGAGCAGGGAAGCCUGGAUAAAGGAAAGAGCCUACUGGGAAUUCUGCGCGUGGCAUGAUGCAUGAGGUUUCAUGUAAAGGGUCUAAUAAAGGAAGAGACACAUAUUUGGUUGUGCAGCCAGACUCUUCUGGCGAGGUUGGACCUCCUGGAUACCGACUUGAUGAAGUGAGUCCAAUUGAGCCUGGUCAGAUGGAUUUAGGUGAUGUUGUUAUGAGUCAUGUGAACCCAACCGGUGAAGUCAAUGUGAAUGAUCCAGAUAACUUUAGAAUCAAUGGCGAGGAUUCAGAUGCAGUUAGCUAAAGCCGAAGUUGAUGAUCUCAGAACGGGCCAGGACCCAUGUUUACAGAUCACUGGUCAUUUCUUUUUGAAUUUGUUUUGAUUUGGUAUGCUUUUAGGACAUUUAUUUUGGCUGAAAAUGGUUUGAGAUAACCGAUGCUUACCGCCAUUUUGUUCAAAUGCAUUGCAAUUUUGUGUGGUUAUAGAAUGCAAUUGACAUAGAAUGGAGUCAUUUUGUUAAUAAUGAAUUGCAAUAUGUCAAACGUUUGUGAUUUA